GUUUCACUGGCGGGACACUGGAGUCAAGCUGUUCGGUUUAGCUAAGUCCCAAUGUGUCGAGAGAGAAAAAGGGAUGCAGUUGUUUGUCGCCUCAUUGAGUACCUUGGGGAACAUCAAGAAGAUCUCAUCCAAGAUUGCUAGGAUGAAAAUGAGGACAACAUGGACUAAACCAUGAAGGUGCUUGUGAUCCAUAAUCCUGCAGCCAAGGAGCAUACAGCAGAUGUGUUGAUUGCGAUGGAGGGAAACAAAGUGCUGAACGUGUGUGGAAACCGAACCAAGGCAUGUGUGCUGUUGAUGGGAUUGAUCUACGCUCUCAAACUUGAGUAUUCCAAGAAGCUUGAGUAUACUUAAAGUAUUUCAGAAACUCUUUUGGUGCUUGACAGAGCAAAGCUGCUCAAGAAGGUCCAGAGCCUCAAAAGUAAGCUAAUGAUGAACUGUUUGUCACCGUAUUCAGGCACAGACUGUUUCCUGGGAACUUACUGUUGGUGCUGAAGAA